rnacentral:rRNA from 1 species
UAACAGGUUAAUAUUCCUGUACUUCUGGUUACUGCGAUGGAGGGACGGAGAAGGCUAGGCCAGCUUGGCGUUGGUUGUCCAAGUUUAAGGUGGUAGGCUGAAAUCUUAGGUAAAUCCGGGGUUUCAAGGCCGAGAGCUGAUGACGAGUCGUCUUUUAGAUGACGAAGUGGUUGAUGCCAUGCUUCCAAGAAAAGCUUCUAAGCUUUAGGUAACCAGGAACCGUACCCCAAACCGACACAGGUGGUCGGGUAGAGAAUACCAAGGCGCUUGAGAGAACUCGGGUGAAGGAACUAGGCAAAAUGGCACCGUAACUUCGGGAGAAGGUGCGCCGGCUAGGGUGAAGGAUUUACUCCGUAAGCUCUGGCUGGUCGAAGAUACCAGGCCGCUGCGACUGUUUAUUAAAAACACAGCACUCUGCAAACACGAAAGUGGACGUAUAGGGUGUGACGCCUGCCCGGUGCCGGAAGGUUAAUUGAUGGGGUUAGCGCAAGCGAAGCUCUUGAUCGAAGCCCCGGUAAACGGCGGCCGUAACAAUAACGGUCCUAAGGUAGCGAAAUUCCUUGUCGGGUAAGUUCCGACCUGCACGAAUGGCGUAACGAUGGCGGCGCUGUCUCCACCCGAGACUCAGUGAAAUUGAAAUCGCUGUGAAGAUGCAGUGUAUCCGCGGCUAGACGGAAAGACCCCGUGAACCUUUACUGUAGCUUUGCACUGGACUUUGAGCCUGCUUGUGUAGGAUAGGUGGGAGGCUUUGAAGCGUGGACGCCAGUUCGCGUGGAGCCAUCCUUGAAAUACCACCCUGGCAUGCUUGAGGUUCUAACUCUGGUCCGUAAUCCGGAUCGAGGACAGUGUAUGGUGGGCAGUUUGACUGGGGCGGUCUCCUCCUAAAGAGUAACGGAGGAGUACGAAGGUGCGCUCAGACCGGUCGGAAAUCGGUCGCAGAGUAUAAAGGCAAAAGCGCGCUUGACUGCGAGACAGACACGUCGAGCAGGUACGAAAGUAGGUCUUAGUGAUCCGGUGGUUCUGUAUGGAAGGGCCAUCGCUCAACGGAUAAAAGGUACUCCGGGGAUAACAGGCUGAUACCGCCCAAGAGUUCAUAUCGACGGCGGUGUUUGGCACCUCGAUGUCGGCUCAUCACAUCCUGGGGCUGAAGCCGGUCCCAAGGGUAUGGCUGUUCGCCAUUUAAAGUGGUACGCGAGCUGGGUUUAGAACGUCGUGAGACAGUUCGGUCCCUAUCUGCCGUGGACGUUUGAGAUUUGAGAGGGGCUGCUCCUAGUACGAGAGGACCGGAGUGGACGAACCUCUGGUGUUCCGGUUGUCACGCCAGUGGCAUUGCCGGGUAGCUAUGUUCGGAAAAGAUAACCGCUGAAAGCAUCUAAGCGGGAAACUUGCCUCAAGAUGAGAUCUCACUGGGAACUUGAUUCCCCUGAAGGGCCGUCGAAGACUACGACGUUGAUAGGCUGGGUGUGUAAGCGUUGUGAGGCGUUGAGCUAACCAGUACUAAUUGCCCGUGAGGCUUGACCU